rnacentral:lncRNA from 1 species
CUAAAAUGCAGAUAUAUGAGAACACAGCAGAGAAAAGAGCUUAAGAUUUGAUAUUUAAAAUCAUAGGGGUGGGAAGGUUGUCUUGGCCAGUAAUAACUAACCUUAGUUUAGUUUAUGAAUCAUUUGGGGUUGGGAUACUUUUGAAACAUAAUAUGAGCAAAGGCCUCACUUCAGAUAGUUUGACUUAGUGUUUGAGAGAGACCGGCACAGCCAUCUGGGAUCUUUGAUCUGACUUCCACUUUCCUUCUGAUUUCUGCCUGUAAACACCAAUACUCAGUUUCCUGGGAUUGGAAUAUCACCACUGGCCGAUUCGGUACUCUUCCUGACACUGGUUUCUUAACGUAUUUUGCUUUUUGGGAGAUUCAUUACUUUUGCCAACUUGGCCAAACACUUGCAAAGGUAGGACGUGCAGAUGUGCAUUUGUAUAUGCAUACAUG